GACGAACGCUGGCGGCGUGCCUAAUACAUGCAAGUCGAGCGAAUGGAGGAGAGCUUGCUCUCCGAAGUUAGCGGCGGACGGGUGAGUAACACGUGGGCAACCUGCCUAUAAGACUGGGAUAACUUCGGGAAACCGGAGCUAAUACCGGAUAGAUUCUUUCCUCCCAUGAGGAAAGAAGGAAAGAUGGUUUCGGCUAUCACCUAUAGAUGGGCCCGCGGCGCGUUAGCUAGUUGGUAAGGUAACGGCUUACCAAGGCGACGAUGCGGAGCCGACCUGGGAGGGUGGUCCGCCACACUGGGACUGAGACACGGCCCAGACUCCUACGGGAGGCAGCAGUAGGGAAUCUUCCGCAAUGGACGAAAGUCUGACGGAGCCACGCCGCGUGAAUGAUGAAGGCCUUCGGGUCGUAAAGUUCUGUUGUUAGGGAAGAACAAGUAUGAGAGUAACUGCUCGUACCUUGACGGUACCUAACCAGAAAGCCACGGCUAACUACGUGCCAGCCGCCGCCGUAAAAC
rnacentral:rRNA from 1 species